CAUGUAGGCGGACUGUUAAGUCUGGUGUGAAAGCCCGGGGCUCAACCCCGGAAGUGCAUUGGAUACUGGCAGUCUUGAGUAUGGGAGAGGAAAGUGGAAUUCCGAGUGUAGGAGUGAAAUCCGUAGAUAUUCGGAGGAACACCAGUGGCGAAGGCGGCUUUCUGGACCAAUACUGACGCUGAAAUGCGAAAGCGUGGGGAGCAAACA
rnacentral:rRNA from 1 species